UAGGAAAAGGCGUGGCACAGUUGUCAAGUACACAGAUUGACUGGCAAACUUUUUCUUUCAAAAUUUUGUACACCUCCCCCAAAAUGGACAAAUUUUCGGUUCUGCUGCAGGAUGACAGGCUGUCAGUGCCCUGCCUUGGUGAUGUUUUGUCGGAAGGAGACUGCAUAGCCUGCAACAUGCAUUCAAAAAGUAAAGUACAGUAAAGGAAAGGAAGCGGAGACCCUAACAGUUUUGUGGUCUUUUCUUUCACUUUGCCGGAAUCUAUCUGGGACUUGCACCAUCUCUUUCUCUUUUGCAGACUCUCUUCCUGUGAGUCAUACUCUGGUCAUUGUCUCAUUUUGGUGGUUUAUAAAUGGAAUGGCCUUUGUUCCUGUUGCUGACAUCCGUUACGUCUUUUACUACUGCUGCUGGUGCUGAUUCGGCAGUGAGAAAGAGAAAAACAGAGAGAUGUAGGAGAUGGACAGUCCUUUCGGCCACAAUGAUAAACUGCUGCGUUCUGGUCCACUGGUGAUGUUCGGUGGCUUCGGUUCACGGACUUUUGGGACUCUAUUUUGUUCUGCUCUGAUGUUUAGUUCAUUAGUUGUAUUGCGGCUUGAGGAUUGAUCACUGGGGUUUACGUUCUCCCCCUCUUUUAAAUUUCAAUACAUAUCCAUUUUUUGGCAAGUCA
rnacentral:lncRNA from 1 species